GACGAGGUGGCCGAGUGGUUAAGGCGAUGGACUGCUAAUCCAUUGUGCUCCGCACGCGUAGGUUCGAAUCCAAUCCUCGUCG
rfam:Ciona savignyi cont_27350, whole genome shotgun sequence.